rnacentral:rRNA from 1 species
GUGUCAGCAGCCGCGGUAAUACGUAGGGUCCAAGCGUUGUCCGGAUUUAUUGGGCGUAAAGAGCUCGUAGGCGGCUCGGUAAGUCGGAUGUGAAACCUCCAGGCUCAACCUGGAGUCGCCAUCCGAUACUGCUGUGGCUUGAGUCCGGUAGGGGAGCAUGGAAUUCCUGGUGUAGCGGUGAAAUGCGCAGAUAUCAGGAGGAACACCAGUGGCGAAGGCGGUGCUCUGGGCCGGUACUGACGCUGAGGAGCGAAAGCGUGGGGAGCAAACAGGAUUAGAAACCCCCGUAGUCC